UGGGGAAUAUUGGACAAUGGGGGGAACCCUGAUCCAGCCAUGCCGCGUGUGUGAAGAAGGCCUUAUGGUUGUAAAGCACUUUAAGCGAGGAGGAGGGUACUGGUAUUAAUACUACCAGGUACUGGACGUUACUCGCAGAAUAAGCACCGGCUAACUCUGUGCCAGCAGCCGCGGUAAUACAGAGGGUGCGAGCGUUAAUCGGAUUUACUGGGCGUAAAGCGUGCGUAGGCGGCUAAUUAAGUCGGAUGUGAAAUCCCCGAGCUUAACUUGGGAAUUGCAUUAGAUACUGGUUAGCUAGAGUGUGGGAGAGGAUGGUAGAAUUCCAGGUGUAGCGGUGAAAUGCGUAGAGAUCGGGAGGAAUACCGGUGGCGAAGGCAGCCAUCUGGCCUAACACUGACGCUGAGGUACGAAAGCAUGGGGAGCAAACAGG
rnacentral:rRNA from 1 species